AGUGGCUUCCGGUCGCCUCCUCUCGGCAGCCCGUCGCGGGGGCGGAGCCUGGGCGCGGGGGUGGGGCGAGCGCGGGAAGCGGGCCCGCCCCGUGCGCGUGCGCGCUGGCUCGCUCGCGAGGAGCGGCGGGGAGGGUGCGGAGGCCGCGUUCCGGAGCGCGCGGAGAGGCAGGGCGGUGCGCGCCGCGGGGGGCGGGCUCCACCUGCCUGCCGACAGAGGGAGGGCCGCCGAGGGAGGAUGUGAAACGGGAAGACCCGCUUCUGCGCCGGCGACUUGCCUUGUUUGCCUCCUCACAGACGACUCCUGCCCCUGACGCCGCCGCACCCGAGAGGCGGCGAACGGCUGCUCCCGCCGCUGCGGCCAGACGGGGUCGCCCGCCCCGCACCGGCCGGGCCGCCUGCCCGACGGGGUCGCCGGCGAUCCUGUUUCACGGGAAACGUGCGCGGCGUGGCGGAAGGGACUCCUCGCUCUGGGCUUUGGGCGAUAAAAGCGCGUGUACGUGUGUGUUAAAGCCCACAGACAGCGUAGCGACUUCUUGAUUCAUUCGGCAAAUACUGUGGAGCGCUGUGGCGUGCCAGGCUGUGCCAGGCUUAGACGACAGCCCUGAUCAGCGCCGACACCGCACCUGUCCUCGGGGAGCAUGCAGGACACCGCUACUCACCUCUAAAAAACACACCGCAUGUGAAUUUGCCGUAUUUUCUGGACUGUAAAAUGCUUUGUAUGCUAAGUCCAUAUAUCGAAUAGCUUUUCAGUGGUGGAGGAAGAAACUACCUUAAAGUCAUAUAAUCACCAUAUAUGCGGGGAAAGGUCCUGGUCAAAAUCAAAGAAAGUUAGUAACAGCUGGCAGAGAGAGAAGGGAACACAGCUUGCAAAGAGAUGGCCUCUGCCUGUGGCCUGAAAUCUAAACUGACUUAAUUCCAUAAUUUGGAGCCUUUAUGGGUUGAAGUGCUAACUAUGACCUUAACAGACAUGGAAGCCUGUAAAAAUAGCAGCUAAGAGGUGGUAGUCAUAGAUACUAUGGUUCUAAGCCUUUCUUAAACUCUUCUAAAGCAGACUGGGUGACCCAUCAGCAAAAACAGAUUAAGGUAGCACCUCCGCAGCAGAUUUAUUUCAGAUUGCAUCAAGGCAGGGCCGUUAAACUAAGGUGGGAAUGAUAUGGACAGAAUUCAGAGGCUAAUAGGUAAAAGACAAGAAUUUUCAGGCUUAAAAACCCUUUUGAGAGAAGAUCUUGGUCUGGUGCCUACUCAUACAUGGAAUUGCCUAGAAAGCAUGAAGAUCCACACUCUUGAGGGGGAAUACCUCACAUCAUCAGGACUUCUGGCUCCUAGACUCUGAGCUCAUUGCAGUAACUGGAAUACUAACAUGAGGAUGAAAAUGGAGCCUCGUGAUGAGAAUAAAGGUGAACGUGAUGUGGAAAAUAUGAAGAUGGAAUCCAUAAGCUAGGGAUGCUGGAGCAGAAAGAUAGAAGGAGUCUGGGUCAUUCGUAUCACAUGGAAGCUGCUGCAGCAGUCCUAGACUGGCUACCCCUGGACGUCUUGUUAUGUCUGAAAAACCCCAAUUUGGUUAAAGUGUUUUCUGUUAUGUGUAGCUAAACAUGAUGUUGGCUAAUAUAGAAACUAUCAUAAGUUAUCUUCUAAAUGGUCUUCUUGUUUGCAGGCUCUACCAGUUAGAUAGCAACAUGACUCAGUAUGUCAGACAUAUAUGAGCUAUCACAAAGCAAUUCAUCAACCUCUAUAGCAUUUCCUGCCAAUUCCACAGAUAUACCAAAUUAUAGUAUUAAGAAACAUAUGUUGAUAAAGAAAAAUUAAAGAGACGUAAGAAUACCCAUAGUUGAACCUCCUGAAGUCCCAUUUUAACAUUUUGCUAUAGAUAUGUUCUGUCUUAUGUUAUUCAAAUGUUUUUUCUAUUGUUAUAGCAUUACUGUAUAUUCAUAUUUUACCUAACACUAUAUCACAAACAGCUUUCCAUGUUAACACGGUCUUUUAAACAAAUAGCUGUUUAAUGUUCCAAGUAACUGUAACAAAUUUUACUUACCUGGUUUCUUGUCAUUGAACUUGUCAAUUCACUUUUUUUUAAAUUGUUGAUUCACUGAGUAUCUACUACAUUCAAGUCACUGGAUUAAAUAUUGUAAGUGCCUAUACGUGAAUUCACAUGAAGCCACGUGAAUAAGUGGCUUCUCUUUGAAUGCUCUUCAAAACUACAAAAGACACAGACAUAUAAAUGCAACAUAUAUGGCUUAUGCCUGUGUACACUUUCUGGCCCUAGGCCAUUUAAUUCUUCUUAAAUAUGCUUAUAGGUUGAAGUAUGCUAAUUUCCUUUCCACAUAUUCUUUUUAUUGCUAAUUUCUGUGAUCUUUGUCUGCCAGAUUUGCCUUAGCCUGACUAAUCAGUUCAGUACAGUACUUCUAAUGAACAACUUAUUAAUGUAAAAGCCAAGACUACUUGCUUGAAAUUUCAAGUGACUCAAGACCUCCCGUCUUCAUCAACAGAGAUCCAUGACAGCCAGGUGUGGUCUUUAAUCCCCUUCAGUUUGGACCUGAAGUCAACGCUGGGGUAAGAGGAACUUUCACUUCCAGUAAUGGAUUAGGUGAUUCAGGCUAAACCUUUUAUGGAAAAAAACCCACAAAAGUUGGACAAAAUAUUUUUAAAAUCACUCCGAGAGCUAACAUGAAGAAUUAAGGCAACAGGAUCUGAGAGAAGGAAAUCCAGAGAGAUCCUUUCAUUCAGGAGGCAUCUCCCUGGAGACUGAGUAGAUGGUAGGAGUCCCCUGGGGUGCUGUCAGCUCCACUCGCUGAACCUCUGGAGAAAGGCCAAAAUACUAGAUGGAUCCCUGUGGAAUGACAGUUGUCAUUGCAGGCAGGAAUUGUAAAUCACUCGUGGAGAUUCUCUCAGCACAUCUGGAAUCACACGACAGCUGUCUGAACUGCUCAUGGAUAAUGCUAAUCCAGAACCACAGGUGCUGCAAUGGAGGGCGUCAUGGGUGUGCCUUUGAGACCAACUAUCUGGUUAUUCGUCCUUCUCUCCUUGGUAGCCAGUUCUCUGCACACAGCUGCAUCACUGACGAAGGCUGGCAUGGCUCUGAUUUGCUUCAGGAUUUCUGACCUUUCUUAGGACAGCGGCCACUAGCCACAUGUGACUGCUGCGCAC
ensembl:lncRNA